CCUACGGGGUGCAGCAGUGGGGAAUAUUGGACAAUGGGCGAAAGCCUGAUCCAGCCAUGCCGCGUGUGUGAAGAAGGCCUUCGGGUUGUAAAGCACUUUCAGUGGGGAAGAAAGCCUUGGGGCUAAUACCCUCGAGGAAGGACAUCACCCACAGAAGAAGCACCGGCUAACUCCGUGCCAGCAGCCGCGGUAAUACGGAGGGUGCGAGCGUUAAUCGGAAUUACUGGGCGUAAAGCGCGCGUAGGCGGUCUGAUAAGCCGGUUGUGAAAGCCCCGGGCUCAACCUGGGAACGGCAUCCGGAACUGUCAGGCUAGAGUGCAGGAGAGGAAGGUAGAAUUCCCGGUGUAGCGGUGAAAUGCGUAGAGAUCGGGGGGAAUACCAGUGGCGAAGGCGGCCUUCUGGACUGACACUGACGCUGAGGUGCGAAAGCGUGGGUAGCAAACAGGAUUAGAUACCCCAGUAGUC
rnacentral:rRNA from 1 species